rnacentral:rRNA from 1 species
CAGAGGUCUCAAGCGAUGUUCGGAUUCAUUGGGCGUAAAGGGUGCGUAGGUGGCGAUGUAAGUCUGGUGUGAAAUCUCGGGGCUCAACCUCGAAAUUGCAUUGGAUACUGCGUUGCUUGAGGAUUGUAGAGGAGAGUGGAAUUCACGGUGUAGCAGUGAAAUGCGUAGAUAUCGUGAGGAAGACCAGUUGCGAAGGCGACUCUCUGGGCAAUUCCUGACACUGAGGCACGAAGGCCAGGGGAGCAAACGGGAUUAGAUACCCCGGUAGUCCUGGCAGUAAACGGUGCACGUUUGGUGUGGGCGGGUUCAGACCCCGUCCGUGCCGGAGCUAACGCGUUAAACGUGCCGCCUGGGAAGUACGGUCGCAAGAUU